AUUUUUAACUAAAGGUAAGAGCCAAGAAGGGAACUAUUUAACCACAGUAAAGCAUUCUGCACGACUUGUCGUCCGUGAUACCUCUCGCGUUUACGUUCACGACGUGGAUCACGGUCGUAACCGCCGCGGCGCCGCAACCACCACCGCAAGACAUUAACUCGGUCCCAGUCUCCCAAACUCCACUUUUAAAAAGAAAAUAUCAAAAAAUUCUCCACAGACAAAAACGGACGCGUCUUUCCAGCCUGGAUUUUGCCCCUCAUUCCAUUCAUACCCGCUAGAAACCAAAGCAUCGUCUCCACUGCACUCUACCCCCCCCUCCGGGGUCCCCUCUGAAAAGACGCAACUACCCCCCAAUUGAAGAGUGAAAACCCAUCGUCUCUCUAUUCUCUCCUCUCCACCAGAGUAACAGCAGAGGAACAAAUGCCACUGCCAGAUCAUCACCGCCGCCUCUCCACAUUCAUCCUCCUCGUCAUCGCCGCCGCGUUACAAUCCGCCGCCGUAGAGCUCCCAAAGUUCCGAGAAGCUCCGGCAUUCCGGAAUGGCCGCGGCUGCCCCCGGACGGCGUGGUCCCCACUCGACGCCCGGUCGCACAACCCCUCGAUCAUCCACAUCGCCAUGACCUUGGACUCCACCUACCUCCGCGGCUCCAUCGCCGGCGUCUUCUCCGUCCUCCAGCACGCCACCUGUCCCGAGAACAUCGUCUUCCACUUCAUCGCCACGCGCCACCGCCGCGACGACCUCCGCCGCGUCAUCACCGCCACCUUCCCCUACCUCCGGUUCCGCCUCUACCACUUCGACUGCAACCUCGUGAGGAACAAGAUCUCCUACUCCGUCCGGCGCGCCCUCGACCAGCCGCUCAACUACGCGCGCAUCUACCUCGCCGACCUCCUCCCCUCGGGCGUCCGCCGCAUCAUCUACUUCGACUCCGACCUCAUCGUCGUCGACGACGUCGCCAAGCUCUGGCGCAUCGACCUCGGCGCGCGAGUCCUCGGAGCGCCGGAGUACUGCCACGCCAACUUCACCAACUACUUCACCCCUAAAUUCUGGUCAAACGCGGUGCUGGCGGCGGCGUUCUCGGGGCGGAGCGCGUGCUACUUCAACACGGGAGUGAUGGUGAUCGAUCUGUUGAAGUGGAGGAAGGGGAGGUACACGGAGAAGCUGGAGCACUGGAUGAGCGUCCAAAAACGGCACCGUAUUUACGAGCUGGGAUCGUUGCCGCCGUUUUUGUUGGUAUUCGCGGGUGACGUGGAGGGAGUGGAGCACAGGUGGAACCAGCACGGACUGGGCGGUGACAACCUGGAAGGGCUGUGUAGAGACCUCCACCCUGGCCCGGUGAGCCUCCUCCAUUGGAGCGGUAAGGGCAAGCCGUGGCUCCGAUUGGACUCCAAGAGGCCCUGCCCCUUGGAUAGCCUCUGGGCCCCCUAUGACCUCUUCCGCCACUCCUCCCUGUUUGCUGAUAGCUGAUGACGACACUCGGCGGCGGUUAAUUCGGAAAAGGGUGAAAACGUUGGGGUGGAAAUUUUGAUGAUCCAGUGACGAGGAGGAGGAGGAGGAUGUGAGGGUGGAGACGUGUCUGAGGGGAAAAGUUGUGCUUCAUGAGGACGUGCCACUCAGAAAUGCGUCGGUGACUGUCGGACAGGGUAGGGAAAAGACAAGUUUGCCGCUACGUGUUCUUUAAAAUAUAACAACCUACAGACCUGGUGCCGUGUAGCUAGCAGAGAGGAGAUCACCAACUCACAGCUAUGGGAUCAGACAUGCCGCGGUGGCCGGCGAAGCUCGUCCGUGAUCACACUUUUAUUAAAUUCUUUGAAAGAGAAGAAGCACGUACAACGCACAGUACUGGGAGCAUAAUGAUCUCGAAGAUGUCGGGAAAGACACCUACCAUCAUACCUUCUUCGAGAUGCUUGGGCAUUGGUCCUUAAUUUGGGGACUAUUUCAAGAGUGAAGCCAUUGAAUGAGCUCGAGAGCUUCUCACUCAG